rnacentral:rRNA from 1 species
UGCCUCAGUAACGGCGAGUGAAGCGGCAAAAGCUCAGAUUUGAAAUCUGGUAUCAUUUUGGUGCCCGAGUUGUAAUCUGUAGAGGAGUAUUCGAGUGUAGCUUUGGCUUAAGUUCCUUGGAACAGGGCGUCAUAGAGGGUGAGAACCCCGUUAACGGCCUCAGUCUUAUGCUCAUGUGAAUCUUCUUCAACGAGUCGAAUUGUUUGGGAAUGCAGUUCUAAAUGGGUGGUAAAUUCCAUCUAAAGCUAAAUACUGGCAAGAGACCGAUAGCGCACAAGUAGAGUGAUCGAAAGAUGAAAAGAACUCUGAACAGAGAGUUAAACAGUACGUGAAAUUGUUGAAAGGGAAGCACUUGCUACCAGACGCACUUGCAGUCGAUCAACCUCCAUUUUUUGGUGGUGCACUCGGUUGUAGGUGGGCCAGCAUCAGUUAUUAGCGGUGGGAUAAAGACUUUGGGAAUGUGGCUUCCCUCGGGGAGUGUUAUAGCCCUUGGUGUAAUACCAUCUGUUGUGACUGAGGACCGCGCUUUUGUGAGGAUGCUGGCAUAAUGGUCGUAAGUGACCCGUCUUGAAACACGGACCAAGGAGUCUAACAUCUAUGCGAGUGUUUGGGUGUUAAAACCCUUACGCGAAAUGAAAGUGAAUGGAGGUGGGAACCGCAAGGUGCACCAUCGACCGAUCCGGAUGUCUUCGGAAGGAUUUGAGUAGGAGCAUAGCUGUUGGGACCCGAAAGAUGGUGAACUAUGCCUGAAUAGGGUGAAGCCAGAGGAAACUCUGGUGGAGGCUCGCAGCGGUUCUGACGUGCAAAUCGAUCGUCAAAUUUGGGUAUAGGGGCGAAAGACUAAUCGAACCAUCUAGUAGCUGGUUCC